UGUAAGAGGAGCGGAUAACAUGAGUACGCGAACCAAAGAGGCGCCAUUCGGGGCGCGGGACGCGGAAAGGGUAUAUCCGCCGAAACGGAAUCGCCGCCGAAACAGGUUUUUCCGUUGGGCAUGAGGGACAACACCUUCAUGACUGUCAUCUCUCCCUGUCGGGGCGGGAUGGAGCACU
rnacentral:ncRNA from 1 species